rnacentral:tRNA from 3 species
GCACCUGUAGCUCAGCUGGAUUAGAGCGUUGCCCUCCGAAGGCAAAGGUCGUAGGUUCAAGUCCUACCAGGUGCACCA